GUGCUCACCUCAGCAGAACAUAUACUAAAAUUGGAAUAAAAGAGAGAAGAUUAUCAUGGCCCCUGUGCAAGGAUGACACACAAAUUUGUGAAACAUUCCAUAUUUUU